GCUUGUUUAGCUCAGUGGAUAGAGUGUUGGUCUGUGGACUGAAGGGUUAAAUAUAAAGAUAAAUGCCAUCCUGGCCAGGUGGCUCAGUUGUUUGGAGUGUGGCCCCAUACACCAAAAGGCUGUGAUCAGGGCACAUACCUAGGUUGUGGGUUCAAUCCCCACAACCACCA
rnacentral:tRNA from 1 species